rnacentral:rRNA from 1 species
CCUACGAGCGGCUGCAGUGGGGAAUAUUGCACAAUGGGGGAAACCCUGAUGCAGCGACGCCGCGUGAGUGAAGAAGUAUCUCGGUACGUAAAGCUCUAUCAGCAGGGAAGAAAAUGACGGUAACUGACUAAGAAGCCCCGGCUAACUACGUGCCAGCAGCCGCGGUAAUACGUAGGGGGCAAGCGUUAUCCGGAUUUACUGGGUGUAAAGGGAGCGUAGACGGCCAGACAAGUCAGAAGUGAAAGCCCAGGGCUCAACCCUGGGACUGCUUUUGAAACUGCCGGGCUGGAGUGCAGGAGAGGUAAGCGGAAUUCCUAGUGUAGCGGUGAAAUGCGUAGAUAUUAGGAGGAACACCAGUGGCGAAGGCGGCGUACUGGACUGUAACUGACGUUGAGGCUCGAAAGCGUGGGGAGCAAACAGGAUUAGAUACCCCAGUAGUC